CAGUCGCCACGGUAAUGCGUAGGUGGCAAGCGUUGUCCGGAUUUAUUGGGCGUAAAGCGAGCGCAGGCGGUUCCUUAAGUCUGAUGUGAAAGCCCCCGGCUCAACCGGGGAGGGUCAUUGGAAACUGGGGAACUUGAGUGCAGAAGAGGAGAGUGGAAUUCCAUGUGUAGCGGUGAAAUGCGUAGAUAUAUGGAGGAACACCAGUGGCGAAGGCGACUCUCUGGUCUGUAACUGACGCUGAGGCUCGAAAGCGUGGGUAGCAAACAGGAUUAGAGACCCCUGUAGUCCCUGUCUCUUAUAA
rnacentral:rRNA from 1 species